GAUUUCUGGUUCGGUAUACUUGGCCCGCCUCGGUUUACGGGGUUGUGUGCCGGUGUGUACCAUCCAUCCUUCGAGAGAUCGGUUUUGCCCUUCACUGGGUUGAGAUCGCUACCUCGAUCAUUUACUUUGAAAAAAUUAGAGUGUUUAAAGCAGGCUUGCGCUAUGAAUACAUUAGCAUGGAAUAAUAAUUUAGGACUUUGGUCUUAUUUUGUUGGUUUCUAGGACUAAAGUAAUGAUUGAUAGGGACAGUUGGGGGUGCUAGUAUUCAGCGGCCAGAGGUGAAAUUCUUGGAUUCGCUGAAGACUAACUUAUGCGAAAGCAUU
rnacentral:rRNA from 2 species